CCGGCAAUGAUGAUUGGCGCAGGGGUACGGACCUCAGCUGGAGAAUGGGAGCUGAGUGUGGCCAUUUCCCACUUGCAUGUGGCAGGCUGUUUGAGAAGCGACUACACGAGAAAAACGCCUCGAUCUGAGCCAG